UGGGGAAUAUUGCACAAUGGGCGCAAGCCUGAUGCAGCCAUGCCGCGUGUAUGAAGAAGGCCUUCGGGUUGUAAAGUACUUUCAGUCGGGAGGAAGGUGUCUAGGUUAAUAACCUUGGCAAUUGACGUUACCGACAGAAGAAGCACCGGCUAACUCCGUGCCAGCAGCCGCGGUAAUACGGAGGGUGCAAGCGUUAAUCGGAAUUACUGGGCGUAAAGCGCACGCAGGCGGUUGAUUGAGUCAGAUGUGAAAUCCCCGGGCUUAACCCGGGAAUUGCAUCUGAUACUGGUCAGCUAGAGUCUUGUAGAGGGGGGUAGAAUUCCAUGUGUAGCGGUGAAAUGCGUAGAGAUGUGGAGGAAUACCGGUGGCGAAGGCGGCCCCCUGGACAAAGACUGACGCUCAGGUGCGAAAGCGUGGGGAGCAAACAGG
rnacentral:rRNA from 1 species